rnacentral:rRNA from 1 species
UACGUAGGCAGCAAGCGUUGUUCGGAGUUACUGGGCGUAAAGGGUGCGUAGGCGGCUUUUUAAGUUUGGUGUGAAAUCUCCCGGCUCAACUGGGAGGGUGCGCCGAAUACUGAGAGGCUAGAGUGUGGGAGAGGAAAGUGGAAUUCCUGGUGUAGCGGUGAAAUGCGUAGAUAUCAGGAGGAACACCGGUGGUGUAGACGGCUUUCUGGACCGUAACUGACGCUGAAACACGAAAGCGUGGGUAGCAAACAGG